UGUUCCAGGAAGACCACAUUGCCAUUUUCAGCUUUGCUAUGCAAUUUCCUACACCGGGAAGAGCUUUGUGUUGCCACCUCCGGGGUGCAGAGCUUAAUCAGCUCAGGAUUUAUUGAAGCGGAGAGGUGCAGGAACUCACCGCCUCAGUCGCCAACCUGACGCCAUAGGGAAACCAGAAUUUCGUGACAAGAUGCCGGGUUUGCAGUUCAAUCUGCCACCUGCUUUGGCCGCCAUCGUGCCAGUGUGCACCUCGCCCCCACCAGUCCAGACCGCUUUGGCUGCCAUGCUGAGAACCUUGCUGCUUGGGAACUUCCUUUGCUGGAUUCAUAAUCCAAAUGCUGUACUAGCAUAUGAAGAUUGCAGGAAAAGCAUAUGCGAUAACUUCAAUGGACAAGCAGUUAACAGGUUUGUCCCCAGAAAGUUUACCCUUCAAGGCUGCUCCAAGAAGGAAUGGAAACCUCGGACCUUUGAUGUAUAUGCAGUAAUCCACAAUGGUCCUCCUGUGAGCCUUGACUUGGUGUACAAAGUUUUCCACGUUUUGUGUUGCCCAUAAUUUGGCAAGUCAGGAUAAGACAGAACAAGGCAUCCCAUUUAUCUCAACAGAGACUGCUCCUUUCUCUCUGUAGCUGGGACAGAUUUGCCACAUACCCUUUUUCUGGGAGAAGACUUAAGUUGAUUUCUCCCAAGGGAGGAGGUCUAGGGGAA